rnacentral:rRNA from 1 species
CUACGUAGGGGGCGAGCGUUGUCCGGAAUGAUUGGGCGUAAAGGGCGCGUAGGCGGCCUGUUAAGUCUGGAGUGAAAGUCCUGUUUUCAAGAUGGGAAUUGCUUUGGAUACUGAUGGGCUUGAGUGCAGGAGAGGUUAUCGGAAUUCCCGGUGUAGCGGUGAAAUGCGUAGAGAUCGGGAGGAACACCAGUGGCGAAGGCGGGUAACUGGACUGCAACUGACGCUGAGGCGCGAAAGUGUGGGGAGCAAACAGGAUUAGAUACCCUGGUAGUCCACACUGUAAACGAUGAAUGCUAGGUGUAAGAGGUAUCGACCCCUUUUGUGCCGGAGUUAACACAAUAAGCAUUCCGCCUGGGGAGUACGGCCGCAAGGUUGAAACUCAAAUGAAUUGACGGGG